CCUACGGGAGGCAGCAGUGAGGAAUAUUGGUCAAUGGGUGUAAGCCUGAACCAGCCAAGUCGCGUGAGGGAUGAAGGUUCUAUGGAUCGUAAACCUCUUUUAUAAGGGAAUAAAGUGUGGGACGUGUCCUGUUUUGUAUGUACCUUAUGAAUAAGGAUCGGCUAACUCCGUGCCAGCAGCCGCGGUAAUACGGAGGAUCCGAGCGUUAUCCGGAUUUAUUGGGUUUAAAGGGUGCGUAGGCGGCCUUUUAAGUCAGCGGUGAAAGUCUGUGGCUCAACCCUAGAAUUGCCGUUGAAACUGGGAGGCGUGAUGAUGUUUGAGGCAGGCGGAAUGCGGGGUGGAGCGGUGAAAUGCUUAGAUAUCACGCAGAACCCCGAUGGCGAAGGCAGCCUGCCAAGCCAUGACUGACGCUGAUGCACGAAAGCGUGGGGAUCAAACAGGAUUAGAUACCCCAGUAGUC
rnacentral:rRNA from 1 species